rnacentral:rRNA from 1 species
UGCAAGUCGAACGGAGCUUAGAGAGCUUGCUUUUUAAGCUUAGUGGCGAACGGGUGAGUAACGCGUGAGUAACCUGCCCUAGAGUGGGGGACAACAGUUGGAAACGACUGCUAAUACCGCAUAAGCCCACGGUGCCGCAUGACACUGAGGGAAAAGGAUUUAUUCGCUUUAGGAUGGACUCGCGUCCAAUUAGCUAGUUGGUGAGGUAACGGCCCACCAAGGCGACGAUUGGUAGCCGGACUGAGAGGUUGAACGGCCACAUUGGGACUGAGACACGGCCCAGACUCCUACGGGAGGCAGCAGUGGGGGAUAUUGCACAAUGGGGGAAACCCUGAUGCAGCGACGCCGCGUGGAGGAAGAAGGUUUUCGGAUUGUAAACUCCUGUCGUUAGGGACGAUAAUGACGGUACCUAACAAGAAAGCACCGGCUAACUACGUGCCAGCAGCCGCGGUAAAACGUAGGGUGCAAGCGUUGUCCGGAAUUACUGGGUGUAAAGGGAGCGCAGGCGGGAAGACAAGUUGGAAGUGAAAACCAUGGGCUCAACCC